GCGAUUUAAAUUCCGGCAGAGUACCAAUUAGGAGGGCAAGUCUGGUGCCAGCAGCCGCGGUGAUUCCAGCUCCAAUAGCGUAUAUUAAACUUGUUGCAGUUAAAAAGCUCGUAGUUGAAUUUCAGCGAUUCUGUCAUUAUGCCAUGUGGUGUAUUGUCGGUUUC
rnacentral:rRNA from 1 species